rnacentral:lncRNA from 1 species
UGGCAUCUCAGAUGGUAGCGCGCCAUAAGUAUACGCAACUCUCUCUAUAUAUAGAUUGAUUGUCAUGUGUAUCUAGCUAGCUCAUACUGCUGUGUGAACAUUAUCCUGCUUGUUUCUCUCUGCAGAUCCUAAGUAAUACACCCGGCCGUCUGCUGCCCUCGACCGCGAGAUAUCAUCUAUAUCGAUCUAAUCUAGGUAAUAUAUGCUCAAUUUUCUGUUUUUCACUUUUUGGCAAGAGGUAUAUAUUGUGGUGUUGAAAGACAUUUUUUGUAGGAAAUGGUAUGAAAUGAUUCUUACAUAUAUAUUUAUAUGGAUCGAACUAUAAAUGAGUUCUUUGAGGUGGCCUUGGAAGAUACGAAUCGCAGAGGCAAAAAAGAGAUAUUUUGUCCAUGUAAGAAGUGCGAAAACAAAGUUUUGAUUGACCCUUCCACUUGUCGUGUGAAGAUGCACUUGUUGAAACAUAGUUUCAUGCCUGGUUACACACGAUGGACAAGUCAUGGUGAGGACAAGGAGGAUACCAGAUUGGAAGAAGGGGCGACAGUACAUGAUGAUAAGCUAGAAGAAGGAGGCCUGAAGAAAGAGUCCGGACAUGAAAAUUAGCCCGACGGACACUCAGUCCGUGUAGAGGUUCAGGAAGUGAGAAGUUUUUUGUACAAAAGACAGGAAGAACAGAGCGAUAAAGAUUUGUCCAAGAAGGAAGAUCUAGAUGAGCAUGAUGAUGAUAAACAAUUUGGCAUCUAUCAAGAAGAAAGUGAAGUCCAGCUCAAAACAAAGUGUACGAAAAGAAGCCGUUGUUGGGUAGUGUAGAAACUUCUGCCUAGAGAAUUCAGAAACGACGUCGCUGCACUUAAUUAAUUUUAUAUGUAUCUUUCAUUAUUAAGCAGCACUGUAGUGUGUAUCGACAUUAUGUGUAUUUCAAUCUUAAUAAAAUAAAUAUAGCUACGUGCAAAAUAUAGCGCUAAACGGAAUUUGGC